GACGAACGCUGGCGGCGUGCCUAAUACAUGCAAGUAGAACGCACAGUUUAUACCGUAGCUUGCUACACCAUAGACUGUGAGUUGCGAACGGGUGAGUAACGCGUAGGUAACCUGCCUGGUAGCGGGGGAUAACUAUUGGAAACGAUAGCUAAUACCGCAUAAUAUUGAUUAUUGCAUGAUGAUUGAUUGAAAGAUGCUAUUGCAUCACUACCAGAUGGACCUGCGUUGGAUUAGCUAGUAGGUGAGGUAACGGCUCACCUAGGCGACGAUACAUAGCCGACCUGAGAGGGUGAACGGCCGACCUUGGACUGAAACACGGCCCAGACUUCUACAGGAGGCAGCAGGAGGGGAACUUCGGCAAUGGACGAAAGUCUGACCAAACAACGCCGGGUGAGUGAAGGAAGGUUUCGGGUCGUAAAACUCUGUUUUAAGGGAAGAACGAGUGUGAGGUUGAAAAGUUCACACUGUGACGGUAGCUUAACAGAAAGGAACGGCUAACUACGUG
rnacentral:rRNA from 1 species